CAAGGUCCCAGUCAACAAGAAUCGCAAGCUGGAGUUCACCUUCUAGACGGCCUUUUGUUGAUCGUGUAUCAUUAGUUGAAGAGCUGAUCUCAAAUUGAAGAAAACUUCCCAACUUGUGGAAUUGCUGGAAGAGAGUAAGGUUGCACUAGUUAAUGAAAUUGUAAUCAUGUGCAAGUAAGAUGAUGCACAUGAUUCUGUUGUGAGUUCUUUGUUUUUCGGUGAACCAUGAUGCAUAUAAUACUUGCCAUCCUCUUAUUCCAAUUGUUGAUGGCUUUUCUGUUAUGGUCAUAGCUUGAAUUCUGUUGUCUCUGAGUCAUCAACUCUUUCCAUCUUUCCUCCUAUUGAAGUUUUGGAUAU